UGGUGGAGUGAUUUGUCUGGUUAAUUCCGUUAACGAACGAGACCCCGCCUGCUAAAUAGUGUGGGUAAUGCUUAUGCAUUGCCUUUUCUACUUCUUAGAGGGACUUUCAGUGACUAACUGAAGGAAGUUGGGGCAAUAACA
rnacentral:rRNA from 1 species